CAAACCAGCAGUAGAAGACUCCGAUAUAGAAAGCAUGGUUUUCAAUUAUCUGAGCCCCGAUUCCUCUGAGAAUGGUGAUGCUUCCUCUCAGUUUUCCCUGCCUUCUUCUUCAUCGUCCACCGUCUUUGUGCCGGCCUUUGUGCUGGCCGGUGGGAUCUCCCCGGAGGUCUCCCAGUCGCAGGCAGAGUCACUGAGGACGCUUCUCUUGAGUUCCCUGCCCCUCCCGUUGAUGCUUCUUGUUGGAGUCCGAAGGAUUCCUCAGACGCCUUACAUCUCCAAUCACAUCGGCCUCAGCCUUCGUCCUCCUCAAACGCGAUGAACAGAAGUCCGUCGGUAGGCACAUCUACUAUUGCUGGCGCGGAUGAUCGAAGCCGAUUGGAAAUCGUCACUAAUGCCAUUUCACAGCCUUCAUCACUUGAAGCUCCUAUUCCUUCAUCGGAACAAGGUCAAGCAACUGGUUCAAGAUCUUCUCCAGCAAAUCAAAAUGACAAUGUCGAUGAGCCUGCUAACGUUGAUGCCCAAAAAUCUCGAGCGGUAGCCACUCCUGUUAAUCCAGUUCUGCCGUCCCCUGGACAUUCACCAUUACCUUCUUUGAUGUUGCAACGAAUCAGCCAAACCGAUGGUGAAAAAAUACUUGGCUCCUUCGUUAAUGCUGGGCCUACCCUGGAGAGGUCUGCGAAAGCCUUAUACUUUUUUAUAUGUUAUUUUUUUUAAAUUUUAUUUUUUUAAAUUUUAGGUCUGUGAAAGUCUUACGUUCUAAAGCUGUUAGUUUUGACACUGCCCCACCCGAGUCUUCAUCGAUACUUGUCGUUACCGACGACGUGGUCAAGCACAAAUGGGCUGAGUUUCUUGAACUGUCCAAGGGUGGAUAUCCGUUAAUUGCAGCCAAUCCCGCCACCACUGAAAGGUUUAAAGCCUUAUUGGGGGAAUUAUGUGGUGGUGAUAUCCGAUUCUCGAAGUCCCCUGAAUUCAGAAAACGUUGCGAAGACUUUCUGACUAAAUUUCCUGGUGGAAUAGAUACUUAUCGACAGAACCGCGAAAGGAUCGCUGCCUUGGCAGACUUGGAGAAAGACUAUCAACAUUCUGACGAUUUUAUCGAGAGAUUUGACCAAACUUUGAAAGAUAGUCGGCAUACCCUAGAAGUGUUGGUCGAUGAACAGAAUGACCUUGCUGCUGAGGAAACCAAGUUGGAGAGACAACUGGAUGCGUUAGAGAGACAACUGAUCGACGUCCGACACCGACGCAGACUCAAGGCUGCCCAGAUAAUUCAGGCAGUCAGAACUCUGGAAAGUCAUCUUGAUAUUUUUGACGAGCAGUAUCGACUAAACAAAGAGUUGGCCGAACAUCGACGUGCUAAGAACCAGUUAGUGUUUGAUAAUAGUUGCUUAGAGCUAGACAUGACGAUUUUCCAAAAGGAAGUGAGAGAUUUUGUAGACAACAUGUAACCUUAG